AUUUGAUAUACAACAGUCUUCAAAGAGUUCAUGAAAAAUGCAUAAACAUCAAAUUUAUGGUGAAGCUGGUGUGCAAAAAUGGUGGAAUCACUGAUGCUUUAUGGAAAGUUUAUGGGGGCAAUGCUCCAAAUAAAUCGCAGACCUUCACGGUGAGUGUUACAGCUCUUAAAGAUGGCGUGGACCCAAAGAAUGAGCAGUAGCAAGGUUUAUUUUGAAGAGCAAAAGACCAAAGCUUCCACAGCGUGGAAGGGGACUGGAGAGGGUUGCUUCUGCUGGCUGGGGUGGCCAGCUUUUAUUCCCUUGUUUG
rnacentral:lncRNA from 1 species